CGGAGACCACUUGUGAACUGAGAAUAUACAAUAUUUACUACCUGUCUCUUUAUAAAAAAUGUUUACCAACACCUGUUCUAUACUGCUCUCUCUUCUUCACUGCAAAGAGAACUUGUUUUGUUUUGUUUUUCUAAUUCCCGAUCUGUCUUUGUUGGCUAUUCAUCUGCCUUAUUAACCCAAUCUGCAAAUCCACAGUAGGGAUGGAGGUAGAGAGGAGAGGAAGAAGUUGUGAACUCUCAUGCAUAACAUUUCUUGUCCCUGUCACACCAUGAUUCCAGCAGCAAUAUGAAAAAUCAGGAUACAUAUUGUCAUUGGCCGUAUGUUACAAAUAUGGAUACUGAGGCUGGAGAAGAUUGAAUGGGAUGAUUACCUGAGGCCCCAGCCUAGGAUUUUGCUUCUCCAUCUCUCAUCAGUGGAUAACAACCAGAAUAACACGUAAGUGGAUACAUGGUAAGAAGGCGUCUGAUUUUC
rnacentral:lncRNA from 1 species